rnacentral:tRNA from 1 species
AAUACUAUGUCUGAUUAAAGUAAUAAAAUGUAAAUUUAUUUAAGAAAAUUAUAAUUUUCUAGUAUUA